GGGGGCGAUUGGAUUCGACUGGAUGAACUGAGUCGUCAGAUGGCGUGCCGUGGUUGAUCAGUGGGCCACGUAAAAAGCUGAUCAAAAAGUAUCUGCCGAAAAGCAGUUCGCUCUGGCUGCCUGAAUCAGGUAGCCCCGGCCGAAGGAUCCCUGCCUGAGGAGCUGGCAGGCCGGACAAAAAAUCGGGCUGGCUGAGGGUCGAUGACUGCGACGCCCUCAGUGAGAUAAAGCGGUAGUCUGGCUGACUGCGGGUCUUGUUCGCUGUACCUGCAGGCAGCGAGAUCAAUCAGUGAACUACGCACGUAGAGGUCUGGCGUCCGGCAUCACAGGACGCGGGUUCGAUUCCCGCCGCCUCCAUCA
rnacentral:tmRNA from 1 species